AACGAACGCUGGCGGCAUGCCUAACACAUGCAAGUCGAACGAGACCUUCGGGUCUAGUGGCGCACGGGUGCGUAACGCGUGGGAAUCUACCCUCAGGUUCGGAAUAACUCAGAGAAAUUUGAGCUAAUACCGGAUGAUGACGUAAGUCCAAAGAUUUAUCGCCUGAGGAUGAGCCCGCGUAGGAUUAGGUAGUUGGUGAGGUAAAGGCUCACCAAGCCGACGAUCCUUAGCUGGUCUGAGAGGAUGAUCAGCCACACUGGGACUGAGACACGGCCCAGACUCCUACGGGAGGCAGCAGUGGGGAAUAUUGGACAAUGGGCGAAAGCCUGAUCAAGCAAUGCCGCGUGAGUGAUGAAGGCCUUAGGGUUGUAAAGCUCUUUUACCCGGGAUGAUAAUGACAGUACCGGGAGAAUAAGCUCCGGCUAACUCCGUG
rnacentral:rRNA from 1 species